CCGGGGACCAACCGCAACGUCGUUGCCGGGAACCCCGCCAGGUCCGGAAGGAAGCAACGGUACUGGCGCCGGCGUGUGCGGCCCCGGCUAU
rnacentral:SRP_RNA from 1 species